rnacentral:rRNA from 1 species
AUUGAACGCUGGCGGCAUGCUUUACACAUGCAAGUCGAACGGUAACAGGGAGCUUGCUCCGCUGACGAGUGGCGAACGGGUGAGUAAUGCGUCGGAACGUGCCGAGUAGUGGGGGAUAACGCAUCGAAAGGUGUGCUAAUACCGCAUACGAACUGAGGUUGAAAGUGGGGGACCUUCGGGCCUCACGCUAUUCGAGCGGCCGACGUCUGAUUAGCUAGUUGGUGAGGUAAAGGCUCACCAAGGCGACGAUCAGUAGCGGGUCUGAGAGGAUGAUCCGCCAGACGGGGACUGAGACACGGCCCAGACUCCUACGGGAGGCAGCAGUGGGGAAUUUUGGACAAUGGGCGCAAGCCUGAUCCAGCCAUGCCGCGUGUCUGAAGAAGGCCUUCGGGUUGUAAAGGACUUUUGUCCGGGAGCAAAUGCUGGUGGCUAACAUCCACCGGAGCUGAGAGUACCGGAAGAAUAAGCACCGGCUAACUACGUGCCAGCAGCCGCCGUAACAC